GUCCAGGGAUGGGAAACGAACCCACAGUGUUACGCUUACCGGGCAGAUGCCAUGUCCACUAGGCUACCCUGGA